rnacentral:tRNA from 1 species
CAGGGAAUAGUUUAGACAGCAAUAUCAGCUUUGGGAGUUGAAGGCGGAAUAUGUAUAUUUCUUCCCUGA